ACGAACGCUGGCGGCACGCUUAACACAUGCAAGUCGAACGAGAGAAGAGGAGCUUGCUUUUCUGAUCUAGUGGCGGACGGGUGAGUAACACGUGAGCAAUCUGCCUUUCAGAGGGGGAUACCGAUUGGAAACGAUCGUUAAUACCGCAUAACAUAAUUGAACCGCAUGAUUUGAUUAUCAAAGAUUUAUCGCUGAAAGAUGAGCUCGCGUCUAAUUAGCUAGUUGGUAAGGUAACGGCUUACCAAGGCGACGAUCAGUAGCCGGACUGAGAGGUUGAUCGGCCACAUUGGGACUGAGACACGGCCCAGACUCCUACGGGAGGCAGCAGUGGGGAAUAUUGCACAAUGGAGGAAACUCUGAUGCAGCGAUGCCGCGUGAGGGAAGAAGGUUUUAGGAUUGUAAACCUCUGUCUUCAGGGACGAAAAAUGACGGUACCUGAGGAGGAAGCUCCGGCUAACUACGUGCCAGCAGCCGCGGUAAUACGUAGGGAGCGAGCGUUGUCCGGAAUUACUGGGUGUAAAGGGAGCGUAGGCGGGAUCGCAAGUCAGAUGUGAAAACUAUGGGCUUAACCCAUAAACUGCAUUUGAAACUGUGGUUCUUGAGUGAAGUAGAGGUAAGCGGAAUUCCUAGUGUAGCGGUGAAAUGCGUAGAUAUUAGGAGGAACAUCAGUGGCGAAGGCGGCUUACUGGGCUUUAACUGACGCUGAGGCUCGAAAGCGUGGGGAGCAAACAGGAUUAGAUACCCUGGUAGUCCACGCCGUAAACGAUGAUUACUAGGUGUGGGGGGACUGACCCCUUCCGUGCCGCAGCAAACGCAAUAAGUAAUCCACCUGGGGAGUACGACCGCAAGGUUGAAACUCAAAGGAAUUGACGGGGGCCCGCACAAGCAGUGGAGUAUGUGGAUUAAUUCGAAGCAACGCGAAGAACCUUACCAGGUCUUGACAUCGUAUGCAUAGCUCAGAGAUGAGUGAAAUCUCUUCGGAGACAUAUAGACAGGUGGUGCAUGGUUGUCGUCAGCUCGUGUCGUGAGAUGUUGGGUUAAGUCCCGCAACGAGCGCAACCCUUACUGUUAGUUGCUACGCAAGAGCACUCUAGCAGGACUGCCGUUGACAAAACGGAGGAAGGUGGGGAUGACGUCAAAUCAUCAUGCCCCUUAUGACCUGGGCCUCACACGUACUACAAUGGCUGUCAACAGAGGGAAGCAAAGCCGCGAGGUGGAGCAAACCCCUAAAAGCAGUCUUAGUUCGGAUUGUAGGCUGCAACCCGCCUACAUGAAGUCGGAAUUGCUAGUAAUCGCAGAUCAGCAUGCUGCGGUGAAUACGUUCCCGGGCCUUGUACACACCGCCCGUCACGCCAUGGGAGUCGGUAACACCCGAAGCCUGUAGUCUAACCGCAAGGAGGACGCAGUCGAAGGUGGGAUUGAUGACUGGGGUG
rnacentral:rRNA from 1 species